AGGGUCUUUCACUUCGAUAACCCUAUUUGACCGAGCUGUUCGUCUGGGAAAGGUGAAAGUCUGUUGAAAGUCGAAGACAGCCUUCAAGAAAUGCGACUACUUGUUGGAAAGGACGAGCAACUGAAGACAUGACACGGUUGAGAUAUUUUAGCCAUGUUUGAAAGCGGCAGGUUAAAUACAGAAAAAUCGUCGAUGACAUAAAGAUCAUAUUCAAAGCAUCGUUAUGAGUCCUAUUUGUUCGAAGGAAUGAUCGAUUUCUUUGGUUUCUUAGUAUUUCUAUGUUUCGAUCUUGGAGCACAAAAAUGCCGUCAAGUUUCAGUUACAUAUUGAAGUGAGAACACGAACGAAACUGCCAAAAGUUUCCCACUAUUCUUGACAUCAAUUAUUGGACCUCUUCAAUACAUGUCCAGAAAAUAUUUUCA